AUAAUGUCCACUGUGUCUGUAAAACUACAAAAGUGGAUUCACAUUGUCUAGGCAAUGUCUGCGUUUCCCAGACCACAGAGGGAAUAGAGAGCAUAAAAGAAGGGAUUUUUACCUUUAAAGUCGCAGAUGACAUUCCAGCGCAAGGUGAGAGAAGCAUCACACUCGAAACUCAUGUUCCUUUUGAUAAAUUCCCUUAGAACACUGGGGCCCAGGCUAAAGUAGUUUCACAGUGUGGAACGCUAGCUCUGUAAGAAGAGCUGACUUAUUUCAGAUAGGUGGGUUUUUUUUUUUUUUUAAACCAAGAGCAUACAGUUAUCAUAGCAGGCUACAGUCAUCUAGAAAUUGAAUGAACAAAUUAGAAAAAAUAAAAAAGGAAGGGGAAAUAUAACUGUUCCGAGAUUGAGUUCCUGUUCCCCUGUGUGGAAGAGGUUUAAAGCAUUGGCAUUCGGCAGCUUCUUUGGUGACCAGCUACAUCCUUUGGCAGUAGGCUUAAGUGCUCACCAUUGCACUGAGUGAAGAGCAUGCUGAACGGUGAUGUUCCAGUUUAAAAGGACAGCGCUGCAAACAAAGACUAUCAACUUGUAGAAAACAAGAAUGAUUUACCUUUUCUUACCAAUGAGGAAACAAACAUGCUACCAUCUGGGAAAAUGGGAAGACCAUGGACUUUCGCAUUAGGCAGAACGUGUGUCAGUGUUUUAUUUGCUUCACGUUAUGUAACCUCUUGAGACUUUAAUAUCUUUAUCUAUUAAAUGGGUUAAUAAUGUGUCCCUACCAGGGUGACUGAGGUUAGAAUUAA
rnacentral:lncRNA from 1 species